CGGAAAGGAAAAAGGAACUAUCCUUUAGCUUCAGACAGAAACAAUGAAUGCUAGCCUCUCCGGUAUUUCUCCUAUCAGGAAGAACAGCUUCUGAGAUCUACCACCAAAGCCUAUCUGAUGUCACUAGCACUUUGUCCUCAGCAAGUGGUCUUCUGCAAAGCAGUGACUGCACAUACUCCAUUGCCUUGGGCCUCGUGAGGAGAGAGAAAGAACCUAUGGAUGCUAGAAAUACCAGUCCAUAUUCUUCUCCUAUUUUCAUUAAAAGGAGUAAGAGUUUCAAAACAAAGCUUCUAUACAAGCUGUUAGGUGAUUUGAUAAUAUAAUAUAAUAAUUGUUGUAUAGUUUAACCUAAUUUCACUUGCUUAAAUAAUGUUGCGGGGGGGGGGGGUAAAGUAUGAAAGUGUCAAGUUGGAGUGUGAAGGUAAAAAGAGAAAACAAGAGGCCCUAGCUUGUAGAAUCAUUUACUUGCCAAAACUUCUAAAAUUCCUGUAAGACCUUUCACAUCUCCAGAGAAUCCUGAAUCCAGUAGAAUUUCAAAGUUUUGAUGGACUUUAAAAAGUGUCUGUCAGCUCUUCAGAGGGACCAGUCUCUACAAAUGUGAUGUCCAAUCAGAGAGCUUACUAGCCACAUGUGGCUAUUCAAAUUAGAAUUUAAAACUCAGUUCCUCAGUUGCACUAGUGAUAUUUCAAGUGCUCAGGAGACACAAGUGGUUAGUGGCUACAGAACUGGACAGAGAGUUUUAUUGGACAGUGUUCUAGAGAAUGUGAGAAUCAGAGCCUUCACUCAGGUAAGCGCACAUUAGAUGAGUGUGCAAUACUUUCUCUGGAAAUACUUAUUUUCCUUUGAUAGAUUGAUUUCCAGGAAAAAAAUUAUUUAUAUGUGUACAAUGUAUGUGUAUAUAUUUAUUUGCUGCUCAGGUAUUUGUGAUUAUAUAACAUGGCAAAAAAUGUUUCCUCAUCAAAUUGAUAAUAGAAAAGGAAUGGUGUUGAUGUUAAUGGAAUGCUUCCUAUGUGUUAGACAUUGUGUGCUAGGCAUAUUAAAAAACUCACAAAAAGUCACCCUACUUUAGAUACAGCAGACCUAAGAGAGAUGUUUUACAAUUAUCUCUGUUUUUACAGAGGGGGAGAAGACCCAGGUCCUACAAUUAACAAGUGAAAGAAUAAACUCAAAUACAGCUUUGUUGUCUGACA
rnacentral:lncRNA from 12 species